GCGGGGAUAGCUCAGCUGGGAGAGCGCCAGACUGAAGUCACAACUUACAGUCCAUCAAUCUGGAGGUCAGGUGUUCGAUCCACCUUCACCGCA